rnacentral:rRNA from 1 species
AUACGGAGGAUGCGAGCGUUAUCCGGAUUUAUUGGGUUUAAAGGGUGCGCAGGCGGUCUGUCAAGUCAGCGGUCAAACUGCGGCGCUCAACGCCGUACCGCCGUUGAAACUGGCGGACUCGAGUGUGUGGGAGGAUGGCGGAAUGCGCGGUGUAGCGGUGAAAUGCAUAGAUAUCGCGCAGAACCCCGAUUGCGAAGGCAGCUGUCCACCACGCCACUGACGUUCAUGCACGAAAGCGUGGGUAUCGAACAGGAUUAGAUACCCUGGUAGUCCACGCGGUAAACGAUGAUAACUAGUUAUCCGGUCCGAUUGGGGAUUGGGUGACCGAGCGAAAGCGUUAAGUUAUCCACCUGGGGAGUACGCCGGCAACGGUGAAACUCAAAUGAAUUGACGGGG